GCAAGAGAAAGCGUUGCGUAGUACACUUAAAAUGUAAGGCGCCAAAUUUUGCGUGGUAUUUAAAUGAAAGGCGUUGGUUUUUCCCAGUCCACCCAUUUUUGUCGUGCGAAUAUGUUGCUUUUGUGAUAAACCUUUCUCUGUCUCUCGCUCUUAUCGAAGAAGCAGCAGAAAAUGGGUUUCGCGAUGCAAUGCUCAAGCUAUGGCACUUGUAUUUCUAUUUGUGUCCCUCAUCGAUUCCCCCAAACCCCUCUAUCUUUUCACGCUUAUCACUGGAACCGAUUCAAGAGUGCGCGAAAGAAUCAGAGGAUGAUGGUUCUUUGUAGCGUGGACGACCGGAGCAACAACCUAGGUUCCCAGAGGAAAAGAAAAAUUGUGGAACACGUUUGUCUCCUCAAAGCAAAGCAGGAUUUAUCUGAAGACGAAGAGAACGACAUGCUUGAUUACUUGUACACAACGCAGUACCAAAUGGGUGGUGUUGUUGCAAUUUCAUUAGGGCGCAUUUCUGCUCCAAAUCCUGAGCGCUACACGCAUGCUCUCUUUAUGCGGUUUCAGAAGAAGGAAAACCUUGAAAAGUUUUAUGAUAAUCCCUUUUACUUGAAGGUUCUCAAGGACCAUGUAAUGACUUACUGCCAUGGAUUGACUAAUGUGGAUUAUGAAUCGGAAGUGGCAGACGAAAUGCUUUCCAUAUUUCGCAAAGGAGAGGAGUUCAACCAUGGAGUGGAGUUUGUGCUUCUGAUAUCAUUUAAUGAGGAUGCACUGGGUAACCAGGCAGAGCAUGCAUUAGCCUCUCUGGCAUCAAUGAUGUUGGAAUCUCCUUCCUUGAUAGUCCAAUUUACACAUGGUUUGAAUUUUAGUCCAAGCUCUAAGGAAUAUACUCAUGGAGUUGUGAUUCGAUUUCGAUCAGUUGAGGCAUUUGAGAUAUUUAUAAACAGCAAAGAGUACAAAAAUGCAUGGCAUUAUAAGUUCCAGCCUAUUGUCCACAAAUCUUUUUCUCUUCACUUCUCUGUUGAUCCAGUGGGAACUGAAAUUAUGUAGUGAGGAUGGUUUGUGGUUUUCAAGAAUAGAUGCGGCUUGGUUUCCACUUUUUAGAAACAAGAAUGAAGGUCAUCUUGUUGGAAUUAUUUCAUUCUGAUGAAUCAGAUAGCUUUGAGAAUUGCCGAGACGAUACAAUUUAGGUACUGCUGUAUUAAACUUGAGCUUCAGAUGGAUAAAAACUGAGCUUUUAAAUUAUGUUGUCCAAGAAAGCAAGAGUCCUCUUUGGUCCUUUUACUCUGGUGGAGUGCCAACUAAAAAUACUGCUUAAAAAAAGGAUGAGACCGUUGACUUCUCUAUCAAUUGGGUCUCUUAUGCCGCUCAUUUAGAGUUUUGAUAAUUUAAUUGUGUGAUAAUAAUUGUGAAGACUUGUGAGGGCUUUCAUAUACACUGUCCCUGGAUUAGAAUGACAGCUAGUGCUGGUGCCUAUUUUCCGAUUCAAAUUUUGUCUUUCCUCAUGUGCUCUGGCCUCUAAUCUGUUAUUAAUUAGAUACUCAGAUGCGAUAUUAAACUA